rnacentral:rRNA from 1 species
CGAACGAGCGAGAGAGAGCUUGCUUUCUCGAGCGAGUGGCGAACGGGUGAGUAACGCGUGAGGAACCUGCCUCAAAGAGGGGGACAACAGUUGGAAACGACUGCUAAUACCGCAUAAGCCCACAGCUCGGCAUCGAGCAGAGGGAAAAGGAGCAAUCCGCUUUGAGAUGGCCUCGCGUCCGAUUAGCUAGUUGGUGAGGUAAUGGCCCACCAAGGCGACGAUCGGUAGCCGGACUGAGAGGUUGAACGGCCACAUUGGGACUGAGACACGGCCCAGACUCCUACGGGAGGCAGCAGUGGGGAAUAUUGCACAAUGGGGGAAACCCUGAUGCAGCGACGCCGCGUGGAGGAAGAAGGUCUUCGGAUUGUAAACUCCUGUUGUUGGGGAAGAUAAUGACGGUACCUAACAAGGAAGUGACGGCUAACUACGUGCCAGCAGCCGCGGUAAAACGUAGGUCACAAGCGUUGUCCGGAAUUACUGGGUGUAAAGGGAGCGCAGGCGGGAAGACAAGUUGGAAGUGAAAUCUAUGGGCUCAACCCAUAAACUGCUUUCAAAACUGUUUUUCUUGAGUAGUGCAGAGGUAGGCGGAAUUCCCGGUGUAGCGGUGGAAUGCGUAGAUAUCGGGAGGAACACCAGUGGCGAAGGCGGCCUACUGGGCACCAACUGACGCUGAGGCUCGAAAGUGUGGGUAGCAAACAGGAUUAGAUACCCUGGUAGUCCACACCGUAAACGAUGAUUACUAGGUGUUGGAGGAUUGACCCCUUCAGUGCCGCAGUUAACACAAUAAGUAAUCCACCUGGGGAGUACGACCGCAAGGUUGAAACUCAAAGGAAUUGACGGGGGCCCGCACAAGCAGUGGAGUAUGUGGUUUAAUUCGACGCAACGCGAAGAACCUUACCAAGUCUUGACAUCCCUUGACAGACAUAGAAAUAUGUAAUCUCUUCGGAGCAAGGAGACAGGUGGUGCAUGGUUGUCGUCAGCUCGUGUCGUGAGAUGUUGGGUUAAGUCCCGCAACGAGCGCAACCCUUAUGGUCAGUUACUACGCAAGAGGACUCUGGCCAGACUGCCGUUGACAAAACGGAGGAAGGUGGGGAGGACGUCAAAUCAUCAUGCCCUCUAUGACUUGGGCUACACACGUACUACAAUGGCGUUAAACAAAGAGAAGCAAGACCGCGAGGUGGAGCAAAACUCAGAAACAACGUCCCAGUUCGGACUGCAGGCUGCAACUCGCCUGCACGAAGUCGGAAUUGCUAGUAAUCGUGGAUCAGCAUGCCACGGUGAAUACGUUCCCGGGCCUUGCACU